rnacentral:rRNA from 1 species
AUGAUACUAGCAAAACGAAAUGUGAUCGCAUCAGCAGCAGCGGCAGGCAACAAAGACGGACGAAAGAGGAGGGAUUUAUUUGGCGAGGGGCGGCGGCGAGCCGAGAAGAGCCUGCUGCUGCAGGUCGAGGUCGACCAUCUGCUGCUCGCGGUCCAUCUCGAUGAUGAGCGGCACGACCAGCACCAGGAAGGUCGUCCCGGCGAUCCACGCCGCCUUCCCCGUGCUCCGCAGCAGCUUCCCCGCCACCGCCGCGGCCUCGCGGCCGUGCGCCGCCACCGAGGACCGCGAGAUCGCAGACAGGACGCCGCCGGCGUCGCCGCGCUUGCUCACAGCAGAGGACGACGCCAUGCUCGCUCCCUUGUUUUGAUCUGGACUGGAGGAUUCGAUUCGGUUCGAUUAGGGUUUCCUUUCCAUUCCAGAGGACGACUCCCUUUUAUCGGACUGGACGGACGGAGUAGUGGGCCUUUUGUGGGCUUAAGGAGGCCCGUGACAAGGGCAGGCCCGAAUGGCGACGGGUAA